GACGAACGCUGGCGGCGUGCCUAAUACAUGCAAGUUGAGCGCUGAAGGUUGGUACUUGUACCAACUGGAUGAGCAGCGAACGGGUGAGUAACGCGUGGGGAAUCUGCCUUUGAGCGGGGGACAACAUUUGGAAACGAAUGCUAAUACCGCAUAAAAACUUUAAACACAAGUUUUAAGUUUGAAAGAUGCAAUUGCAUCACUCAAAGAUGAUCCCGCGUUGUAUUAGCUAGUUGGUGAGGUAAAGGCUCACCAAGGCGAUGAUACAUAGCCGACCUGAGAGGGUGAUCGGCCACAUUGGGACUGGGACACGGCCCAAACUCCUACGGGAGGCAGCAGUAGGGAAUCUUCGGCAAUGGACGAAAGUCUGACCGAGCAACGCCGCGGGAGUGAAGAAGGUUUUCGGAUCGUAAAACUCUGUUGGUAGAGAAGAACGUUGGUGAGAGGGGAAAGCUCAUCAAGUGACGGUAACUACCCAGAAAGGGACGGCUAACUACGUG
rnacentral:rRNA from 1 species